UCACGCCUGCUCGCAAGACCGGGAGCGGAUGGAGGAGGCGUAGCCGGUGGCGCAGGGCGGGCCGGGACGCCAUCCCGACAGCACCUCAGUGGCGCGGCCCGGCGGGCGGACGGGUAGGCGCUGCCCGACAGGCGGCGCUGUAGCCGCCUGCGCCGCUCUCGGCUGCUCUAGGAGCUGCGCUGCGAGGACUCUCCGUGUGUCCGCCAUAUUGGUGCCCGCGCCGCAGCCGCUGCGCGUUGUUCCUCCAUCUCCUGCCGGCGCGGCCGAGCGGGGGAGGGGACGGGACGGGACGUCGGUGCCGCUGCCGGGCGGGAAGCGGGGCGAGGAGGCUGCGCGCUGCCGGGAGGAGACGGAAACGAGCGGGCCCCGCAUCCCUCCGCGGCAGCCCCCUGCGCCACCCGCCAUGGCGAGGAGGCCCGGCGGCCACUGAGCGAGGCGCACACGCACACACAGACCGAGACUAGCCCCCCUCUGGGCCGCGGCCCUCCCGGCCCGGCCGCUGUCAGCGAAGAGAAGCCUCCCGGCUCCCGCCUCCACCACGACAUGGAGGCCGUGAAAGCUUUUAACAGCGAGUUGUACUCACUAAAUGAUUAUAAGCCACCCAUUUCUAAAGCUAAAAUGACACAGAUCACCAAGGCAGCAAUCAAGGCUAUAAAGUUCUACAAGCACGUUGUACAGAGUGUUGAGAAAUUCAUUCAAAAGUGCAAACCGGAAUACAAGGUACCUGGUCUGUAUGUCAUUGACUCCAUUGUGAGACAGUCCCGGCAUCAGUUUGGACAAGAAAAGGAUGUAUUUGCUCCAAGGUUCAGCAAUAACAUCAUCAGUACUUUCCAGAACUUGUACCGUUGUCCUGGGGAUGACAAGAGUAAAAUUGUUAGAGUGCUGAAUUUAUGGCAGAAGAAUAAUGUGUUCAAGAGUGAAAUUAUUCAGCCUCUUUUGGAUAUGGCAGCAGGAAUUCCUCCUCCAGUUGUGACCCCUGUCUUGCCCAGCACUACAGCUGCUAUGAGCAACAAUACACCAGGAACACCUGUGACUCCAGUUACUCCGGCCAAUGUAGUGCAAAGUUUACCUGAUCCUUGGGUAUCCCAGAUUGCUAAUACAGAUACCCUUGCUGCUGUUGCACAGAUUUUACAGAGUCCUCAAGGCCAACAGCUUCAGCAGUUGAUACAGACACUGCAGAUACAGCAGCAGAAACCUCAACCUUCACUACUUCAAGCUCUGGAUGCUGGUCUUGUUGUUCAGUUGCAGGCCCUCACAGCACAACUUACAGCUGCAGCUGCAGCUGCUAACACACUUAAUCCACUGGAACAAAGUGUCUCUUUUAAUAAGAAGCUGAUGGACAGGUUUGACUUUGGGGAAGAAUCUGAACAAAAUGAAGAGCCUAAAAAAGAAGCUCCCACUUCUCAACUGCCUUUAGUACCAGAAUCUGUGAACAACUCCCUUUUUCACCAGCUAGCUGAACAGCUACAGCAACAAAAUUUAGAACACCUCAGACAACAGCUUCUGGAGCAACAGCAGCCUCAAAAGGCAAGCCCUGAGGAGAAUCAAGAAGGAAAUUUUGGUUCAGAGCACUCUGCAUCACCAUCACAAGGGAGUAGUCAGCAGCAGUUUUUAGAAGUGGAAACAAAUGUAGAUGAUUCAAUGGAUAUUCAACAACAGGACAUGGAUAUAGAUGAAGGACAGGAUGUUGUUGAAGAAGAGAUUUUUGAACAAGAAGAAAAGAAAUCAGCUGUUCGUUCAAGAUCGAGAACUCGCUCAAGAUCUCGUUCAAGGUCACCAAGAAAACGAAGGUCAAGAUCACGGUCUGGUUCUCGUAAGCGUAAACACAGAAAACGUUCACGCUCAAGAUCAAGAGAAAGGAAGAGAAAGUCAUCUCGGUCAUAUUCCAGUGAGAGAAGGGCUAGGGAAAGGGAAAAAGAACGUCAGAAAAAGGGUUUGCCUCCUAUACGGUCAAAAACACUAAGUGUUUGCAGUACCACUCUUUGGGUAGGUCAAGUAGACAAGAAGGCUACACAGCAAGAUUUAACUAACUUAUUUGAAGAAUUUGGACAAAUAGAGUCAAUUAAUAUGAUUCCCCCAAGAGGGUGUGCUUAUGUCUGUAUGGUUCAUAGACAAGAUGCAUAUCGUGCUCUUCAGAAACUUAGUUCUGGGUCCUAUAAAAUUGGAUCUAAAAUUAUUAAGAUUGCCUGGGCUUUGAAUAAAGGUGUGAAAACAGAAUACAAGCAGUUCUGGGAUGUGGAUCUGGGAGUUUCAUAUAUUCCUUGGGAGAAAGUAAAAUUAGAUGAUUUGGAGGGCUUUGCUGAAGGUGGCAUGAUUGACCAGGAAACAGUAAAUACAGAAUGGGAAACAGCCAGAAGCUCAGAAGCUGCUAAAGAAAAUACUCAAACUACACAGAGUGCUGCAGUUGAUAAGAAUACAGUUAUUACAACACAGACAGAAGCUUACACGCAACCAGUCACUAUGCUGCAGAUUCCGGUAGCUCCAGCUGUGCCUGCUGUUAGCUUGGUUCCACCCGCAUUUCCUGUCACAAUGUCUGUCCCUCCUCCUGGUUAUAGCGCAAUUCCUCCUCCACCCUUCUUGCGUGCAAGUUUCAACCCUUCACAGCCACCUCCGGGUUAUAUGCCUCCCCCAGUUCCACCUGUGGUUCCACCGCCUGUUGUCCCACCACCUGUUGUUCCACCAGUUGUUCCAACACCUUUGGUACAGCCUCCAUUACCAAUUGCACAAGAGACGAUGAAGGAUGUUCCUUUUACUAGCCUUGUUCUACCAGUUGGCACAGUAACUAGCAAUCUAGCUACUCCAACAUUAUCUGCUGGAAAUGUUUUUAAUCCUCUGCCAAUCAACAAACCAGAAUCAGAUGAAAAGGGAUCACAUCUUGCAGACCUUCAGAUUUCUUCCAGUGAAAACAAUAGAUCUGUGCAAAAUGAUGUUUCGAGUAGCUCUGGACUUGUUGGAGGAGUGCAGCCAUGCAGUGUCUCAAGCAGUUCUGGCCUUACUGGAGAAGGACAACCACCCAGUGUCUCAAGUAGCUCUGGACUUGCAGGAGGAGUACAGCCACCCAGUGUUUCAAGCAGCUCUGGACUUGUAGGAGGAGUGCAACCACCAACUGUUUCAAGCAGUUCUGGUCUUGCAGGAGGAGUGCAGCUGCCAGCUGUCUCCAGUAGCUCUUCUCUUGCCGGCGGAGUUCAGCCAACCAGCGUCUCAAGUAGCUCUGGACUUAUGGCUGGAGUGCAACCACCAAAUGUCUCAAGUAGCUCAGGGCUUAUAGCAGGAGUGCAUCCACCCAGUGUCUCAAGCAGCCCUGGCCUUUUGACAGGAAUGCAGCCACCCAGUGUCUCAAGCAGCUCAGGAGUUCUGACAGGAGUACAGCCACCGAGUGUCUCUAGCAACUCUGGGCUUCUCAUAAUGCCACCACCCAAUGUUUCAAGUAGUUCUGGACCGAUGGGUGUGCCACCACCAAAUAUUUCAAAUAGUUCUGGACUUCUGGCAAUGCAACAUCCAGCUGGAGUUCCAAAUAUGCCUCAUUUAAAUAUUAGUAGUCAAAGGAUGCCAGGAAUACCUCUUAUAGAUAUCCGUCCAGGCCUAAUGCCCCAUUCACCUGGACCAAGGUUUCCAUUAAUGCAGCCAGGAAUGCCACCGCAGCGUAGUAUUCCUCCUCCAGCAAUCCUUGAUCCAUCUCUUCACCCGCCACCUCGAGGUCCUUUUCCUCCAGGAGAUAUUUUUAAUCAAACAGAAAGACCUUUUGGAACACCAGGAAGACAAAAUAUCGACAACAUUUCUAAUCCAGAGAAAAGACUGCCACUUGGAGGUGAUAACAUUCAGCAGGAAGGAGACAGAGAUUAUCGCUUUCCUCCAGUGGAAAACAGAGAUAAUCUUAACAGGCCUUCUCCAGUGGAUGUCAGAGAUUCUGUUGGGCGACCACCAGUUGAUCCAAGAGAGAGUGUAGGAAGGCCUCCACUAGAUGGAAGAGAACACUUUGCAAGACCACAUGUAGAAAUGAGAGAAAAUUUUGGAAGGCCAGGGAUUGAUAACCUUGGUCGAAGAGAGCAUUUUGGUUUCAAUUCAGACAAGCACUGGGGACAGAGAGGAGAUUAUGAUGAAAGAGAGCACCAUGCCUUCCCUAUUUAUGGUGGCCCUAAAGGCUUCCAUGAAGACAGAGAGAGGUUUCGGCAUGUAAACUAUAGAUUUGAUAGUAGAAGUGGUCCCAGUUGGAAUAGAGGAUUUGAACAGGAUGCUCACAGAGAUUUUGAUGACCGCAGAAGACCCUGGGAAAGACAGAGGGAUAGGGAUGACAGAGAUUUUAAUUUUUGCAGAGAAGUUAAUGGGAACAGGUUUGGAAGAGACAGAAUGUCAAACAACUGGAUCCCUCCUCCACAUCCAAGGGUUUUUGAAUAUUUUGAUGGGGCCACUUCCCAGCGCAAAGUUGAAAAUCUGCCCCAGGUAAAUGGUGAAAAUACAGAGACAGAAAGUCAGCCACCAACUGCACAGGUGCAGGAUGAUCCUGAACUUUAUGAAAAACUGACAUCUUCCGUCGAGAUAAACAAAGAGAAGAGUGACACAGAAGCUGAUAUAGAGAGUGAACCAGUGGUAGAAAGCACAGAAACUGAGGGGACAUAAUCAUCACUCAGUAGGGAUGAAAGUAUGAGAAUGUCACGUGUCAUAAGCAUGCCUUUGAACGUAGAAGCAAGUUACGCAUGCCUGUGUUGUCCUCUUCCUCUGGGAGGCAAGAUGAAGGAGGUUCUGGCAGCUUACCAGGUCCGGGGCCCUGCAGAGUUAAGUGAGAAGUGCGCCCAUGUUCUAGCAUGCAUCACAUCGCAUCUUGGGUCUGAAGUGCCAGAAGGAUCCCAGCGCUGCAGACUGAGACGGCUCUGAGCACCUCAGUACCCCGUUUCUGACAGAACCCAGGGAUGGCAAACAUACAUAUCAGUAUUACCUGUCUGGGGCAGGUUUAAUUUUAUAAAUUAAAACCAUAAACUCUGUGAGUUUCUAGACCAUAUUUCUGCUGUUGAGGAUGAUCUGCUCAGAUGAACAGUUUUGCAUCCAUCGGAGGGACAGGUUCUUCUGCUGGACCAGAAGAUGACAGUGAGCUCUAUCUUGUGACUAAUAUCGUUUGUAGCAUCUCCUAGUGCAAGUAAUUGAAGAACAGGUUACAAGAAAAUCCUGUAGGGAAUAAGACAUGCUUUGUUUUAAUCUACAAAUUUUAAGAAAUGUUUUGUUUUUUUUAAAGAGAACCACUUUUACAUAACACUAAGUGUGCAGUCUACGUGCAACUCUUCACUGUGGCUAUCUGUACUCCAGAGGUGAUGAAUUCCCUGUGAGACACCUGAACCUUUUCAGAUUUGUGAUGAAUCCUUAAAUUAUGAGAGUACCAUGAAAAACUAGGCGGGAAAAGUCCCAGGGCUUUUAUUAUACUAGAUGUUUGCAAUUACUUCCUGCUGGUGUCCUGAGAGGAGGAGGAGAGGACAGGAAGUAGGAAUGAAAUACAAAAAAAUUACAUUGCAUUUCUUUUUUGGCAUAUGCAUCUAUCCAAAUGUGUGUUUGAUCUAAUAGCCAAGGGGAAAGAAACAGCUAAGUUAGCUGAGACCUCACAUGAAAGGUCUGCAUUUUCAGGCAGUGUUUGCUAAUUUUUUCUCUUGAAUAGCUAUAGGAAAGAAAGAAUAUGUAUAUGCCCCACCAUAUGUGAAAAGUACAUCCUUGCCAUUCCUUUAUUUAUUUUUGCUCUUUUAAAAAUUAAAGUGCCAGUUACUUGGAAUGCUGUAGUCUGUGGUCUCUUUACAUUUGUUUAGUGAGAUCCUUUCAGCAAGAUCGUACCCAUUACAGUGUAACUGCAUGGUGACCACAGCUUUGGGCCUGUAUAAUAAAGAUCUAAAUUCAGAA